rnacentral:rRNA from 1 species
ACUCCUACGGAAGGCAGCAGUGGGGAAUUUUGGACAAUGGGCGCAAGCCUGAUCCAGCCAUGCCGCGUGCGGGAAGAAGGCCUUCGGGUUGUAAACCGCUUUUUGUCAGGGAAGAAACGCUUUGGGCUAAUACCCCGAGGUAAUGACGGUACCUGAAGAAUAAGCACCGGCUAACUACGUGCCAGCAGCCGCGGUAAU